AGCGAACGCUGGCGGCAGGCUUAACACAUGCAAGUCGAACGCCCCGCAAGGGGAGUGGCAGACGGGUGAGUAACACGUGGGAACGUACCCUUUGGUUCGGAAUAACUUGGGGAAACUCAAGCUAGUACCGGAUAAGCCCUUAUGGGGAAAGGUUUACUGCCGAAGGAUCGGCCCGCGUCUGAUUAGCUAGUUGGUGAGGUAAUGGCUCUCCAAGGCGACGAUCAGUAGCUGGUCUGAGAGGAUGAUCAGCCACACUGGGACUGAGACACGGCCCAGACUCCUACGGGAGGCAGCAGUGGGGAAUAUUGGACAAUGGGGGCAACCCUGAUCCAGCCAUGCCGCGUGAGUGAUGAAGGCCUUAGGGUUGUAAAACUCUUUUACCCGGGACGAUAAUGACCGUACCGGGAGAAUAAGCCCCGGCUAACUUCGUGCCAGCAGCCGCCGUAA
rnacentral:rRNA from 1 species